rnacentral:rRNA from 1 species
GCGUGCUUAACACAUGCAAGUCGAACGGAAAGGCCCUGCUUUUGUGGGGUGCUCGAGUGGCGAACGGGUGAGUAACACGUGAGUAACCUGCCCUUGACUUUGGGAUAACUUCAGGAAACUGGGGCUAAUACCGGAUAGGAGCUCCUGCUGCAUGGUGGGGGUUGGAAAGUUUCGGCGGUUGGGGAUGGACUCGCGGCUUAUCAGCUUGUUGGUGGGGUAGUGGCUUACCAAGGCUUUGACGGGUAGCCGGCCUGAGAGGGUGACCGGCCACAUUGGGACUGAGAUACGGCCCAGACUCCUACGGGAGGCAGCAGUGGGGAAUAUUGCACAAUGGGCGGAAGCCUNAUGCAGCAACGCCGCGUGCGGGAUGACGGCCUUCGGGUUGUAAACCGCUUUCGCCUGUGACGAAGCGUGAGUGACGGUAAUGGGUAAAGAAGCACCGGCUAACUACGUGCCAGCAGCCGCGGUGAUACGUAGGGUGCGAGCGUUGUC